rnacentral:rRNA from 1 species
GACGAACGCUGGCGGCGUGCUUAACACAUGCAAGUCGAGCGGUAAGGCCCUUUCGGGGGUACACGAGCGGCGAACGGGUGAGUAACACGUGGGUGACCUGCCCUCAGCUCUGGGAUAAGCCUGGGAAACCGGGUCUAAUACUGGAUAUGACUCCAUGACGCAUGUUGUGGGGUGGAAAGCCUUGUGCGGCUGAGGAUGGGCCCGCGGCCUAUCAGCUUGUUGGUGGGGUGAUGGCCUACCAAGGCGACGACGGGUAGCCGGCCUGAGAGGGCGACCGGCCACACUGGGACUGAGACACGGCCCAGACUCCUACGGGAGGCAGCAGUGGGGAAUCUUGCGCAAGUGGGCGAAAGCCUGACGCAGCGACGCCGCGUGGAGGAUGACGG